rnacentral:tRNA from 1 species
GAGUGUAGUUUAAUGGUAGAACCUUAGCCUUCCAAGCUAAUGAUGACGGUUCGAUUCCGUUCACU